rnacentral:lncRNA from 1 species
CUAUUCUGUGUAAUUUUCCAUCAAUCGGAUGAAUGGAAAUGUAAUGAUAGAUCAUGCUACCAAAAUAAGUACAAUGCUAUAUUUGAAUAAGUUUUCGAAAACAAUGAAAAUACAAUCUUAUAUCCACGUAGUUUUAAAUGAAAGUGCAAUGCAAUCUACAAUAAAUACAGAAAGAACAUCUUCAUACUUACCCCAUCCCUCCACCGUCUUCUUCGAUUUCAUUAACAAUAAAAAUGUCAUCUAAAUGCAAAAACAAAAGUUAUAAAAAUAUUUUUUUAAAUAUAAAGAAAAUAGAUUUACAAACAAAAGUGAAACAGAAAUAUGGUUUUGCUCCACUGCCAUUUAUCAAGGCUUUGAUUCAAUUAGUGUAGGAGAUCAAUUUAAUACCUUAUUGUGCCUUUAAAAGUUGCCUUGAAUCAAUUGGAUUCUGUACGGCACAUCUUCAAUUACGGAAAUCACACGACAUAGGACAUACGUUGCAUUAAAGCCUUGUUUCUUAAAAAAUAGUUGAAUUAUUCGUGCAUCAAAGUCAAGCUCAUAGCAAAAACCCUUAAAACAUAAUAAUCAAAUCAAUAAAAAGAAUUUAAGAAACAAAAAAAAACUAAACUGGUUGUUGAUAAGAUUACCCUAAAUUAGACUUUGCACAAACAAAUGGUCACAUCGUUGUGUUUAUUUAUCCAAAACUAAAUAACCAUAUUUGAAACUCAGUCAAUCCACAAUCACCAUUUACUACCGACUGAAGUCGAAAAAGCCACAUGAACAUCACAUGGACCCAACCAUUAAAAGUCUAUUCAAUUUACUGAAAAUUUAAAAAACAUAACCAAUCAAUUAAAAAAAAACUUAUAAAGAAGCUGAAAACAAAUCUGGAAAGCAAGAGAAGCAACGAAAGGGUAAAACAGAUAAAGUUGAAGACAGGUUCGAGAAUUUUGUAAAGCUCAUUCUAAAUUGUACCUGGAGGAAUGGUUGGCAUGAGCUGAAUCGGAGGAACAGACCGGUGUUGUCUCUAUUUUCCCGGUAGAACAACCUGCAAAUGUAGAAGAAAUGAAAAAACAAAAGUUAUCUUUUUUUAUUCAUGGUGAAAGAGUAAGGGUAAAUUGGGAAAUGGGAAUGAUAAUCAUUAACUGAAAGUUAAGAUUUUGCAACAUUUCACUUUGAUAAUUUUACCUAAUCAUAGCAAUAUCAUUGACAUACAAAACAAUCCUCGUUCCAAAUAUCCAAUAAAGCAAUGAUUGUACUCUGUUUUGAACACCAAGAAACAAAAUACAUAAUUAAAAAAAGGAGCACAAAUAAUAAUAAUAAUAAUAUCAAUAUAAGGCCGGUAUAUAGUUUAUUUCUAUAUCUCAUAUUUCACUUUUUCUAUGUAUAAAAUAUCUUUUUAAUACAAAAUUGGUUCCAAAUAAACGUCAAUGUAUAUUUUCUCCAUUUUUGCGGCCCAAAACAUUAAUUUUAAGAUAUUUUUCUAUUUCAUGUAAAUUGGACAGAUAUUAUUAUGAAUGCAAUGAUGUAUUAUUGUAUCAUGUAUCUAACCUGUAAGCAAUUUCAUCCAUGAAAGUUCUUGCAAUACACGUGGAGGUUGUUGAUGCAGCCCAAAAUAUUAAUUACUCUGUAUUUUGAAAUAGUUAAGUAUCAUAACAUAACUACAUCCAUGUACCUUUAUCUUUCAUAGGCUUUAAGUCACUUCUUACUCUAUGGUAAUGUAAUUUUUCACUGGAAUUGGAGUUUGAAAGAAAAGAAAAAUGGAAAAGCUCAUGUUUGACCUAAAUAACAGUGUAUGUGGAAGCCUCGUUGACAUCCACCUAUAACCAAAGGGUUCUAUAUUCAAUUAUUUACCUUCAUGGUCAAACAUUUGAUCAUUAUGAUGAAUUCAAGGUUAUUAAUUUCAUAGAGUGAUCCAGUCAGGAUAGGCAUAUCCAAGAAUUCACCCACUUAAAUUUUUCACAGGGUACCCAAAAGAUUCUAUUUUAAUAUAGUUUUAUAAGGUGAACAAUUUACAUAAUAGAAGAACGGUAACAUUUAACAUGCUCUUUCUUAAAAAAGAACCACGAACAAACCAUGUUAUGCUUCCAGAAGAAACCGCUCCCCCUCCAUCAAGUGACAACAUCAAGGACUCUACAAUAAGAAAAAUUCAAUUUUAGUAAUCCCUAAUAUGGAACAUUGAACAAAAUUUCAUCAAACCUCCACAGAAGAAACAUGAAUAAGGUAGCUAUUGGGCGAAGGAAACGACAGUGUUUAUAGUGCGGAGUUUCUGUGGUGUGGAAUAGAGAAAGAAAAAGAAAAGAACAGUGGAAUUAAUUGCAGAUGGUUACGAUGAAGCCAUUUGAUGUGAAGAUCAAUGCAUUGCACUCAAAACUUCGAUUGAAUAUCGAGCUGUUUGAGAGAAGCGGUUGGUGAUGUUCAAUCUCUAGAUGAUGUCGGUCGUAGAAGAGCUGAAUAUUCGAGGUGUAGAAGAAAAGGAACAUAGUGAGGUGGUGGUUUGGAGGCAGCUAGGGAAUGCAAGGAACGACAAACAAAUUAGAAGGGUGGAGAAAAUACCUUUCAAUCAUCGUCGACACAGGUGGUGGCUUCCGAUGGUCAGACAUACGAAGAAGAAACAAAGAGAAGGGUUGGAUGAGAAGCGGUGGAAGUACUGCAACAUCAGCAACCCACCGACGGAUCCUGCAACUCACCGACGGAGGCUUUGGCGGAGGCGGUGUCGCAACAGAGAGGUUUGGUGGAGAACGAAGAAGAAGAUUUGUGUCAUUGUUUUCCACAUUUUUUUAAUUCCAAAUUUUUUCUAAAAUAUAAACACACACCGACUCCACUCCAUCCACCUCUACCUACCCCUACCCACACACACACAUACAUACCCACCCCCACACACACUCACCCGCACACACACAGACACACACACACACACCAACCCACAAACACACACACACACACACCAACCCACACACACACAUACAUACCCACCCCCACACACACACCCACAAACACACACACACACACACACUUACAUACAUAUCCACCCAGACACACACCCACCCCACAAACACACACACACACACAUACCCACCAAUGCACCUACACCCACACAAACACACUCACACACAUACCCACCCACACCCCCACAAACACACACCAACACACACACAAACCCACACCUACCUCCACCCUCACAGACACACACACCCACACACACAAACCUACACCUACCCCCACAAACACACAUAUACACACACAAACACACACUCGGACCCCCACCAACCCAACACCACCACGAUAAUCACCAACCUACCAUCACCAUCACCACCCCCACCACCACUAACCCGUCACUAGCACCACCACCACCGCNN